UACGGGGGGAGCAAGCGUUGUUCGGAUUUACUGGGCGUAAAGGGCGCGUAGGCGGCCACCGCAAGUCGACUGUGAAAUCUCCGGGCUUAACCCGGAGAGGUCAGCCGAUACUGCGGGGCUAGAGUGCAGAAGGGGCAACUGGAAUUCUCGGUGUAGCGGUGAAAUGCGUAGAUAUCGAGAGGAACACCUGCGGCGAAGGCGGGUUGCUGGGCUGACACUGACGCUGAUGCGCGAAAGCUAGGGGAGCGAACGGG
rnacentral:rRNA from 1 species